UAGCCCCACAAUCCCGUUCAUCUGCUCGUCUCCUCCCCUCCCGCUCCCUUGCGUGUGCCGCGGCGGCGGCGCCGUCCCGACCCGCUGUCCCCCCCCCCCCCCCCGCCUCGAGCUCCAGAUCCAACAACAGUGGUGCUGGCCGCGACGGACGGUCGGAGGCGGCAGCGCGGAGGUGGAGGUUCACCAAACGAACGGAUGCAGCAGCGCUGGCUUGCCGGACGGCCGGCCGCGACGUUGCCGGGCGGCCGGACGCGGCAGCGCGGAGAUGGAGUCUCACCAGACGAGCGGAUGGAGCGGCGCUGGCUCGCCGGACGGCCGGCCGCAACGCUGGCGGAGGCUUGCCGGACGGCCGGACACGGCGGCGAGCCAGUGGAGUUCUCCAAUCCGCGAGUGGCCGGUCGCGCCGACGCCCCCUCCCUGCCCCCGCGCAUCGCGAAGGAGCCAGGCCUCCCGCCUCCCAUCGAUUUCCCGUCCGCCUCCGUCUCUGGCGAUUUUGCCUGGUCUGCUCUCUCUGACUCUCUCUCCCUGAGCAAGAGAAGAAGAUGUUGAGCUGCAGCCAUCCACGUCCUCUUCCUCCCCGACCAAGACAAGGAGAGGACGUCGAGCAGGGUCACCGCCUCCCCAUGGUCUGCUCGCCCCCUUUUUUUCUCUCCACAUCGCCAAGAUUGAAUAGUGGCCGGACGGGCGGAAUGGUGGUACUAUCCCGUCGGAUGCCGAGGCCGCCAUUCCCUCCACUAAGCUCGCCGCCUCGGAGCACAUCACGGCUCGGCUCGGUGCUGCCUCGAAGUGGCGAGGGGAGCGUUCUGGGGCGGUGGUUUUGUCAUGGCCGGCGCUGUAGUGCGAUCCCUAGGCUAGUGAAGAGACGGCGAUGACCAGGUGGAUCCAAGGAGGAGAAGAGGUCUCAUGGGAAGGAUGGGUUCAGAAUGCCAAGAUUCCUCCAUCCUCUGCUGGCAUCGAUCCAAAGAACUAGGUGUAUUCUAAAGGAAGAAGAUGCAGCUUAAUAAUAGAAGAAUGGGCCCAUAUCUUGCAAGCACAUCGCCGCACUCUGCUGGUAAUCCGCCCUCAAGGGUGCUCUCAUGAUGUAAAGCACUUUCCCCCCCAAUCAUGAAUCCAUGGGCAGCCGAAGGUUAUCUUUUCUUUUGCUCUGAUUUGUCUCAUUCCUUCUCUCUUUCACUCCCCAUAAUUUCUCUCCAGCUAAUGGUUUUGUUUGGUUGCUCUUAUAGUCAGUUCAUAUGACUAACAGUAACAAAAAUGAACCUUUAUUCACUGUUAGUGGAUUACCGUAUUUAUUCUAGGCUGAUAGUUGUGUUAUUCUUUUUGCAGAGAAACAGUGUCCUGUGAGGUGAGCUACCCUUUGAUAAAUUCAUCAAUUUAUAUCUAUUUCUUAUUCUUUAGUUGAUAUAAGUUUGUUAGAAGGCCAGUUCUUAGAUGUCAACAGAGUUUGAUCACACUCAGUGUCAGUAUGAUACACCUCAAUCUUCCAUAAAACUAGAUAACUAUCAUUCUAUUGGAAAUCUUACCAUUUUUCUCUUCCGGCUUGCUACUGAAUGAUACACAAUGCUUGGGUGGACGGUUUUCUCCCUGCUGAUCGCUCUGUUGCACAUUGACACACACGUGCUACCUUUUUCUCUAUCUAUUUAUUUAUAUGCUUUUGGCCUACUCUGAUUAGUUGGAACCAGAGAUUUACCAUAUGCAAGCCUGGGCAGAUUCUCUUUGAUGUAUCAUGGCAGGUAAUAGAUGGGUUACCAUUUGCCACUGAAAUUAUACCGAUGUGUUCUGCACCGGCUAUAGCUGUUGAAAUGAAUUUUUUGUAGACUAGAGAAUGUAUUUUCGUGCGAGGAGUUGUCGUGCCUAUAGGUUCGAGGGUAAAAUAAAAUUGCGAAUGAUUGGUUUAUGUGCCACCUCUCUGUUCUUAUUCCUAUAUGUGCAUCAGUAGAACUGCUAAUUAGGAUAGAUUCUAUUUGCAGUUCAAGUUUGCGCAAGGUAAUCAAUCGACCAUCCCUGUAUAUUUCUUUGAAGAAACAUAUACAUUCUUAUAAAGCCUCGGUGUCUUGCAUUUCAUAAUCUUUGAUUUCGCAUUGCUCCGCACAGGUGCCCAUCGGAGAAAUGGAAGGAGCACUGCUGAAGGAUGUUCCCUUAAUUCUUAUUCAUGGAGUGUUCUUGUGCAAAGACAGAUGGAGAAUAUCACGCCUCAUGCUAAUAGUAUGUGAAGUUAAAUACUCCAAAUGGGAAACCCAUAAUUAAUCAUUUGGAUGCUGCUUUUGUCUGCCAUGUUUAAGAAUUGGUCUCUUGCUUUCAAGCACUUCUUAGUAUAUAUAUUAGGAUAAAGUGGCGUUGGGUGUUUGAGGUAGUAGGUUACAUUGGCAUUAUAAUCAACUAGGUUUCUCUCCUGGUAUCUUUCUCCUGAUUAACUGCUGAAAUAUAGAACUAGCUUGAUUUUAUAAAUAUAUGAGGAACACAGUUAUUUUCAUUGUGUAUAAAAAAUUGGCUGAUGAAUUUUCUUAGUCCAGAUGGCCUCUUCUAUUUUGUUCUGGCGAGUUUGAAGCUAGAGCUGUAGUUUUAUUGUUAGAAACAGAAUCCAGCACAAUUAUUGAGGUAUGCCCUGGUAGAGUAAGUCCCUCUUUGUUCCCUACUUCUUGGUUAGUUUACACAUCGGAUUUAAGUUCUAGAUCCUAGAUUUCAUAGAUGUGAUGUUAGUGUUCUUUAUGCAUAUAGUGCAUUUCACAUUCUAUUCCCCUGAACAUUUGUGCGACUUAAGUUGUUCAUCCCCGUACGUAACAAACGUGAUCAGGCAAAAUUUCCAUCUACCUAAACGCCUUCAGGUACCAUGCAAUCUAAUUAUGUAAUUGACUGAUUAGACCUUAGAUUAACAAUACACGGCCUGCAUAUUUCUUGUGUAUAUAUAUCUUCUUGGAUUCAGAUGGUUAAAUCCUUACUGUCUGUUAAUUCUCCAUGAUUUUACAAAAUGCAAGAAAUCAGGGAAAGACUCAAAUAGUUUGCAGGCAUUGCAUGCUAUUUUUGCACUAGGCUCAUAUGUUGCACUAGGCAUUGCAACAGUAUUCUAUAGGGACUAGAUAUUUCGAUGAAAUUGCAGAUCGAUGACAAGUGAAAUUCCUAGGGACUCCUUGGUAUGCGCAACUAUUUUGUUCAGACUGUAGCAACUUCUAAUUGACAAUUUUGUCUACUUUUGAUUAUUGAUACCCUUACUGUUGGCAUCUGCACCAGUAUGGCAUCUCUGCUGUUGCUCUUGAAAUUACCAAGUACAGUACCAUCCAAACCCAACCUUGGAAGUAUAAUUGGCUCAUGUUUAUGCUGAUGCUUACUGAGUGAGACUCCUCUUUUUAACCAUUUUUAUUAUGACAUUGUAUUGAAUGUUCUCCAGGGAUGUUAAACUGCAGGUGCAGGCCUGUUUCUUUUCUGCAAUCAUUGGUACUCCAGGAUUUCCUCUUCAUUUGCUUGUUAAACUGCAGGUGCAGGUCAUUGCACAUGUCCGUGUGAAUCCAUUAGAAACACACAUGCUAAAGUGGGAACAGAAAAGAGGCAUAAGUCCUCGAUGAAGAAAGCUAUGUUGCAUGUUGGGUGCAGAGACCAAGAACAAAAAAAAGGAUUAGCUCUGUGCUCACAGGAUGGCGAUGAAUAAUGACAUGGCAGCACCUCCUACGAGUGCUGGACUAGACUGCAUACAGCUUUCAUUGCAUGCAUGUUCAAGGACGCAGAGUAAACAGCUAAAUUUAACUCCGAUAUCUUCAAACCAGCAUCCAAGAAGUUGUGGCUUCAGUUUUCAAAAAUGGUGCUGCUUCGUCAGGUCGAUUCUUCCACGCAAGACGGGGAGGCCUUCAUCGAGCUUCAUGGAACCCUUCGUUGCUCCUUGCUUCUUCCGGCGGUUCUCAUGAUUUCGUGUGCAUUAUCCUAAUUUGAUCUUAUAGACUUUGUUUUGUAAAAUCAAAGAAACCUAUUACCAUUUUUCAACUUAUUUUAUCA